UAGUAACGGCGAGUGAAGCGGGAAGAGCUCAUGUUGUAAAUCUGGAUGAGGGUUCCUCGUCCCGAAUUGUAGUCUAGAGAUGCGUGCUCAGCUACUCUCCAGGGCUAAGUCUGUUUGUGAAAGACAGUGUCAUGGACGGUGAUAACCCGGUUCUUGCCUUGGAUGUUGUAGCGUUUUGAGCCGUCCUCAACGAGUCGAGUUGCUUGGGAUUGCAGCUCUAAGUGGGUGGUAAAUUCCAUCUAAAGCUAAAUAUUGGUGGGAGACCGAUAGCGAACAAGUACCGUGAGGGAAAGAUGAAAAGAACUUUGAAAAGAGAGUUAAAUAGUACCUGAAACUGCUGAAAGGGAAGCGAAUGAAGUCAGUGUUGCUCUUUGUGCUCUGCAUCCUCCCUGCGGGGAUUGUGUAUCGAGGACUUUGAGCUUGUCAGGAUGAGUUCUCUGCCGCGGGAUAUGUUUUGUAUGCUGGAUGCUUUUUGCGGAACAUACAUUCUCUGUCGUGGCUUGGACUGAGGUUCCAUCUUGCCGUUGCCUGUGCGUUCCUCUCCCGUUGCUGUCUCUGUUCUACUGCUUGCAGUGCUCAGUUGCAGUAGUUGGACUGUGCGUAUUAUGCAUGCAAGGUCAGGAUCCUGACGAAAUGGCUUUAUUUACCCCGUCUUGAAACACGGACCAAGGAGUCUAACAUACGUGCGAGUACUUUGGUGACAAACCAAUGUGCGCAAUGAAAGUAAAGGCUGGCUUCCGUCAGCUCAGGUGGGAUCCGUUUGGAGCACCAUCGACCGACCAUUAUGCCUUCGGGCUAAAGGUUUGAGUGUGAGCAUUUAUGUUGGGACCCGAAAGAUGGUGAACUAUGCCUGAAUAGGGCGAA
rnacentral:rRNA from 1 species